rnacentral:rRNA from 1 species
CUGACAAUUUAGCCCAACCAAUCUGCAUACCCUCAGUAAACACUUCUUCUUCCAUAAAAUAUUUUUCUGGUUUAGUAAAGACGAUAGAAAUACUAAUUGGCGCCAUAAGCACGUACCGCAAGGGAACCAUGAAAUAAUAAUGAAAAACUGUAAGCACAAAAAAGUAAAGACUAACCCUUGUACCUUUUGCAUCAUGGUUUAACAAGUCUAACUAAGCAAAAAGAUUUUAAGUUUAACUCCCCGAAACUACGUGAGCUACUUAAAGACAGCCUUCCUGGCCAACCCGUCUCUGUUGCAAAAGAGUGGAAAGAUCUUUAAGUAGAGGUGAUAUACCUAUCGAACCUAGUGAUAGCUGGUUACUCGAGAAAAGAAUUUAAGUUCAACUAAAAGUCUCCUUUAUGCUUAGCAAAUUUUGAUAAGACUUUUAUGCUAGUCAAAUAGGGCACAGCCUAUUUGAAACAGGAUACAACCUCUGCCAAUGGGUAAGUCAAUUUGUACACAAGCCAGUCGGCCUAAAAGCAGCCACCACCUAAAGCGUCGAAGCUUUCUUGCAUAACAAUACUAAUUCCUUAACUUUUCCCACGAACCCCUCAUCAGUACCGAGUACUUCUAUACUUUUAUAGAACUUUUUAUGUUAAAACUAGUAACAAGAAGCUAAACUUCUCUAAAAUGUAUCUGUAAACCAGGUUGGGACCCGACACUGGUAAUUAACACCCUUACUAAAGAAAUACCCCCCCCCCAAGCAAAUUUUUCUUUUACCACCUGUUAACCUAACACAAGAACAUUACAAGAAAGACUCUAAAAAAAAGAAGGAACUCGGCAAACAUCGAUCUCGCCUGUUUACCAAAAACAUCGCCUUUUGCAAUUUAUAAAAGGUCCAGCCUGCCCAGUGACUUGUUCAACGGCCGCGGUAUCCUAACCGCGCGAAGGUAGCGUAAUCACUUGUUUUCUAAAUCAAGACUAGUAUGAACGGCACCACGAGGAUCCAACUGUCUCCUUUUUUCCCUCAGUGAAACUAAUCUCCCCGUGAAGAAGCGGGGAUUCACAUAUAAGACGAGAAGACCCUAUGGAGCUUCAAACUAUAGGCCACCCACAACAGAUUUAUAUCGACAUCUUGGUCCUAAUGUUUUAGGUUGGGGUGACCCAGGAGAAAAACUUACCCUCCUGACUGAACACGGAAUUUUUCCUUAGCAAAAAAUUACACUUUUAAGCAUCAACAUAUUGACACUCAUUGAUCCAGUUUUCUGAUCAACGAACCAAGUUACCCUAGGGAUAACAGCGCAAUCUACUUCAAGAGUCCCUAUCGACAAGUGGGUUUACGACCUCGAUGUUGGAUCAAGAUAUCCCAGUGGUGCAGCCUCUACUAACGGUUCGUUUGUUCAACGAUUAAAAUCUUACGU